GAUGAACGCUGGCGGCGUGCCUAAUACAUGCGAGUCGAGCGAACAGACGAGGAGCUUGCUCCUCUGACGUUAGCGGCGGACGGGUGAGUAACACGUGGAUAACCUACCUAUAAGACUGGGAUAACUUCGGGAAACCGGAGCUACUACCGGAUAAUAUAUUGAACCGCAUGGUUCAAUAGUGAAAGACGGUUUUGCUGUCACUUAUAGAUGGAUCCGCGCCGCAUUAGCUAGUUGGUAAGGUAACGGCUUACCAAGGCGACGAUGCGUAGCCGACCUGAGAGGGUGAUCAGCCACACUGGAACUGAGACACGGUCCAGACUCCUACGGGAGGCAGCAGUAGGGAAUCUUCCGCAAUGGGCGAAAGCCUGACGGAGCAACGCCGCGUGAGUGAUGAAGGUCUUCGGAUCGUAAAGCUCUGUUAUUAGGGAAGAACAAAUGUGUAAGUAACUAUGCACGUCUUGACGGUACCUAAUCAGAAAGCCACGGCUAACUACGUG
rnacentral:rRNA from 1 species